ACGCUGGCGGCGUGCCUAAUACAUGCAAGUCGAACGAGAGCGACCGGUGCUUGCACUGGUCAAUCUAGUGGCGAACGGGUGAGUAACACGUGGGUAACCUGCCCAUCAGAGGGGGAUAACAUUCGGAAACGGAUGCUAAAACCGCAUAGGUUCUUGAGUCGCAUGACCCGAGAAGGAAAAGAGGCUUCGGCUUCUGCUGAUGGAUGGACCCGCGGUGCAUUAGCUAGUUGGUGAGGUAACGGCUCACCAAGGCCGUGAUGCAUAGCCGACCUGAGAGGGUGAUCGGCCACAUUGGGACUGAGACACGGCCCAAACUCCUACGGGAGGCAGCAGUAGGGAAUCUUCCGCAAUGGACGCAAGUCUGACGGAGCAACGCCGCGUGAGUGAAGAAGGAUUUCGGUUCGUAAAACUCUGUUGUUAGAGAAGAACAGCGCAUAGAGUAACUGUUAUGCGUGUGACGGUAUCUAACCAGAAAGCCACGGCUAACUACGUGCCAGCAGCCGCGGUAAUACGUAGGUGGCAAGCGUUGUCCGGAUUUAUUGGGCGUAAAGCGAGCGCAGGCGGUCAAUUAAGUCUGAUGUGAAAGCCCCCGGCUCAACCGGGGAGGGUCAUUGGAAACUGGUUGACUUGAGUGCAGAAGAGGAGAGUGGAAUUCCAUGUGUAGCGGUGAAAUGCGUAGAUAUAUGGAGGAACACCAGUGGCGAAGGCGACUCUCUGGUCUGUAACUGACGCUGAGGCUCGAAAGCGUGGGUAGCAAACAGGAUUAGAUACCCUGGUAGUCCACGCCGUAAACGAUGAGUGCUAAGUGUUGGAGGGUUUCCGCCCUUCAGUGCUGCAGUUAACGCAUUAAGCACUCCGCCUGGGGAGUACGACCGCAAGGUUGAAACUCAAAGGAAUUGACGGGGACCCGCACAAGCGGUGG
rnacentral:rRNA from 1 species